CCUAAGAUGCGCGCAUCGACAAUGACAUGAUAUGAUAAGACAAUUUUCGAUCACGUAGAUAAUUUUAUCAUUUUCCCUAACAUGGGACCAUCGAUAGAAAAGUCUAUCGACCGCUAUCGCGUGAUAACCGAAUUGUUGCCAUAUUAAGAAAAAAUUGCGUUAUUAUGUUGGCCAACCUUGAAAUAUUUUAGCUCAUUCGUUCAAUCUCGUUCAUUUCUGCUACUAAUUCGGCUAAAAACACAUAUCUUAAAGCAGUGAGAACGUCAUUAAAAAAAAGUUAUGUCAAUUUUGUUGACAUUACAUGACUGCUUGAUUGUAUUUGUUUGUGUUUUUAAAAUUGUAUUUUUAUGUUUCCAGUCUUAUUUUUAAUAUUUCUAAAGUACGGAAAAUAUCAAACGAAGAGAUAACCAAGUUAAAGAAAAACAAUGAAGAAUUCCUAAUCAUACCGAUAGUAUUAUAGAAUGAAGUCUUCAAAAUUAACAGAAUAACCGAACUCCACUACCUACCCCAUAAUGCGAGGUUUACAGUAAUUAUUCAACUUACAUGAAGCAGUCAGAAAGUUUAUUGAGAUUUGAGAAAUAAAGUUACACUCAUAAGUAGCAAAACAGUGGAUGAAGAAGUGUGGGAUUAUGAGUGAUUAUUUCAUUCUAAAGCAGACAUAAUCAAGUCUUGCUCACUAUCAUGAAAAUUUACAAUAACAAUCAGCAAGAAAAACUUCAAGGGUACUGGCUAGGCUAACCAAUUCAUGGAAUUCUGUUUGUAUUUGAAAUUAUAAAUAGCUAUUGUAAAACAAAAGUUUUCCAAAUAAAGAUUUUGUAAAUAAUGGUUGAAUUAUUUUGAAAUUACACUGCAAUAAUGAAUUUAUUGCCUGCGUCCAGCGCCUUUCUGCUACCAUUAUGAUGUCGUCGGUCCACCUUGUGGGUGGACGUCCCACGCUGCGUAUUCCGGUACCCGGCCUCCACCCCAGAACCUUGCUGCCCCAUCGGGCAACAUGGAAAGCAUUGGGGGAGGCCUAAGUUCAGCAGUGGACGUCCUAUGGCUGAGAUGAUGAUGAAUUUAUUAUAAUGGAAUAAAUUGUACAAGAUUAUCAUCCUGUCACAUUAAAGCCCUUAAAAAAGACCACAUGGAGGAAUUAGAUUGAUAGUAAUGUGGAAUGUAUGUAUGGUAUCACCAUCAAGUUAUAAAAUUAGUAAAAUUCAUUUAUUCUCAUUGUUAUUAUAGCAAGUUUGAUUACACAUCCCACCCAAUGCUAAUUUCUGACAAUGACCUUGCCACUGUUUGAUGUAGACACAAGAAGCUCGGUCACCACAUUCCGCCCCAUUUUCAAUAAUUUUACAAGAUUAUGUACAGAUGACAGUAGGUACUUAAAUCAAGCUAAACACUGUGGGGUAUCUCACGACAUUUGCAACUUAAUAUGUAUUGUCUGAUGUACUGUUGACUGCCUACCUAAGUAGGUAAGUAAUGGUUAUUUUACAAGGUAGGUAAUGUAAUAAUUAAUAUGUGGGUGGGACUGUGGGAGCACUAAGAUUUUGCAGCUAGCGAUUAUAAACUGUCGCAAGAUUCGCCUCACACUGAUAAACUCUUGAACUAGAACUCAAUCUCCACCUAGAAGUAAAAGUAUCACAAAGGUGCUAGAUUCCUUUCUUUGAAUUUUACUAGCCUCAAAUUAGUCGUAAAAUGUCAUUUACCAUUAUAAAUGAUAAAUAAAUAGAGUUAAAGUAGCUUGCAAAAAAGUUAAUCUCCUAUCGUCUUGCUAUCGUGGGCAAGGAUCGAGGACGAUAAAAACACCACAUCCUAUCCUAUCGUGAUGUCAAAAUAUGAUAUAGUUAGCGCUUCAUGUUAGGGCUUGCCAGGUUUAUCACAAAAAAAAAAAA